CGAGCAGGUGCGAAAGCAGGUCAUAGUGAUCCGGUGGUUCUGAAUGGAAGGGCCAUCGCUCAACGGAUAAAAGGUACUCCGGGGAUAACAGGCUGAUACCGCCCAAGAGUUCAUAUCGACGGCGGUGUUUGGCACCUCGAUGUCGGCUCAUCACAUCCUGGGGCUGAAGUAGGUCCCAAGGGUACGGCUGUUCGCCGUUUAAAGUGGUACGCGAGCUGGGUUUAGAACGUCGUGAGACAGUUCGGUCCCUAUCUGCCGUGGGCGCUGGAGAAUUGAGGGGGGUUGCUCCUAGUACGAGAGGACCGGAGUGAACGCACCACUGGUGUUCGGGUUGUCAUGCCAAUGGCACUGCCCGGUAGCUAAGUGCGGAAAAGAUAAGUGCUGAAAGCAUCUAAGCACGAAACUUGCCCCGAGAUGAGUUCUCCCUGACNUGCGUUGAGCUAACCGGUACUAAUGACCCGUGAGGCUUAACCUUACAACGCCAGAGGCGUUU
rnacentral:rRNA from 1 species